rnacentral:rRNA from 1 species
GACUGACUUCGGUUGGUCUGAAAGUGGCGAACGGGUGAGUAACACGUAGGCGACCUACCGCGAAGAGGGGGAUAACCACUGGAAACGGUGGCUAAAACCGCAUGGUCCUGGGGGGAUGGGAAUCUUCCUGGGUAAAGGGAGCAAUCCUGCUUGGCGAGGGGCCUGCGUCCGAUUAACUAGUUGGUGGGGUAACGGCCUACCAAGGCAAUGAUCGGUAGCUGGUCUGAGAGGACGAUCAGCCACACGGGAACUGAGACACGGUCCCGACUCCUACGGGGGGCAGCAGUGAGGAAUAUUGGGCAAUGGGGGCAACCCUGACCCAGCAACGCCGCGUGGAGGAUGAAGGUCUUUGGA